CCAGCAGCCGCGGUAAUUCCAGCUCCAAUAGCGUAUAUUAAAGUGUUGCAGUUAAAAGCUCGUAGUUGAAUUUCGGGAUCUGUCCAUUGGUCGGGCCUCACGGUCCGUACUGGUGUGAUGGGUUCCUACCUUCUGAAUAACCAGCAUGCCAUUUAGUUGGUGCGCUGGGGAAGCAGAGCUAUUACCUUGAAAAAUUAGAGUGCUUAAAGCAGGCUAUUUGCUUGAAUAGAUUAGCAUGGAAUAAUAAAUAGGACGGCAUGGUUCUAUUUUGUUGGUUUCUAGGAUCACCGUAAUGAUUAAUAGGGAUAGUUGGGGGCAUUAGUAUUCAAUUGUCAGAGGUGAAAUUCUUGGAUUUAUUGAAGACUAACUUCUGCGAAAGCAUUUGCCAAGGAUGUUUUCAUUAAUCAAGAACGAAAGUUAGGGGAUCGAAGACGAUCAGAUACCGUCGUAGUCUUAACCAUAAACUAUGCCGACUAGGGAUCGGACGAUGUUAAUUUUUUAAUGACUCGUUCGGCGCCUUACG
rnacentral:rRNA from 1 species